UAGUUGUAAGAUGGCCAUCGGUAAUCGUGCAUGUGCUUGAUAUUUCCAUGGUAAAUAUAGUUUAUAUAAUUAUUUGUAAGUGAUUCAUCCUAAAUAAAGGACAAACGUUAACACAUUUCGCUAUACGUUACCUGAUGUGUGUGAGACCCAACAAAGACAUUUAAUUGUUACUAGAUGAUUGCAUAGAUGCAAUAUUGUUAUUAUAGGACCCGACUGCUUGGGCAGAACUGUCGUGAAGGAACACAUGGCUGGAAAUUAUUUCAAUUAGUACGAUAAAGCGAAAGAUGCAAUGUCAAAAUGAUGUCAGGAAACCGGACGUAAAUUGUUUAAAGCUGCACUUUGUUGAAUAUAAGUUAAAUAUAUAGAUCUCAGUCCCCUGGAUACUUUCUCAGUUUCCUGCAGAUGGUUUUUAAACGAAUUCUGAUAAAAUGACUAAUAGUUAUUUACUCGUCUGACCGCUUUUGUAGCAUGUCCUCCGCUAUACCUGAAGCUUGUUACAAUUCAUAAAUUAAAUAAAGAGGUUUCUGUACUACAUUUUAUCGCUAUUUUCUACGAAUAGGGAUAAAAGAGAAACAUUAUAUGAACUCGAUCUGUUCAAAAUUGCAUUAACAAGUUAUAACAACACUAUACAACAUAAAAGAAGGCAUAAUGACCUUAAAUUUUAUGUAGUAUUAAAUUCAAUUCUCCACCAAUAUUAACCUUCCAUUGGUAGGAAUGGGUGCUUGAAGUGAAGUAUCAAUAGUAAAUAAUUUCAUUAAUCAUUGAUGAAUUCCUCCUUUUACUAUACUAUGUAUGCAGUACGCUAUCGUUUCUUCCAUUUAUUUCAUAUACGUGUGCUCUCAUCGUACGAUUCCAUCGCAUACCAGCAAACAUGCAUCAUGCGUCAUGAGAAGUAAAGAAAUGUGUCUCGACUGAAGUGCAACCGUAAGGAAAAAGAAAUAGCAAGUUUUCAUUCAUUGAAUACGAUGAUUCAAUGUUAUAAACGGAGCGACGUGAUUCGAAUGGCACACGAACAGGUGAAAAGGUAUUAAUUUCCUUCAAAUCAGAUAAUCGUUGGCUGUCCACGUUUCUCCAAUACAAUUCCGGCACGGCCCAUUAUAAAUCGAUCAAUUACCUUGGUCGAGUCGUGCUCGACGAAUUCUCCGGAUGCCGUAGGAGGUUUCUCGAGUGUGCCAGAACUCGCGUCUGUCAUCGGCUAGUUCACGAACAUGGCCGAUUGACGCGUGUGUGUGGCGAAUAGUGCGCCAGACGAGCGGCGCCACGAGGAAUCCCCGCAUACACCUGAACCAAGCCCAGACCGAGCGACCGCUUGCGUAAUAGCACGUCGAACGACGGUCGACGCAGUCUGUACUAUUUCUGUGGCGUUCCGCUUACGUUCCACUCCACUCGACUCCACUCGGCCUCCAACCUCUAACUAACCGCACGACUCAAACAGACCAUCGGUGACGAAACACGCCGCACUCUUGCUAUAGUCCCUUUCGUCUGCUUCGUCAGUUUCUCGCGCCAGUUACGACUUCACCGAGGGCGUGUGAUACCUAGUUCGAAAUCUUAUGUCUGGAAGGAUUACAACGAUGGUGGUCCGAAUUGCCGAAGAGUCAUAGUUCUCGAGAUAUUAACAAAAAUAUGUUGGUCUUACUACGUCGCUUUCUAUGUGUAUAUGUACCGCGUACACGGAUGUAGUCGACGCGAUAGCCGCUUCGUUCGAUGCUCGCCAGUCACUUUACACUGGCAAUCAAAUCAUCUUUGCGUAACCGAUCGCUUCACGAAGAAUAAUUCAAACCUAAUCCAAUACUAUAUACUGCAAAUAGAUCGUGGAGCGGCGAGCGAAGCAGCUAUCGCGUCGCUUGCGUCUGUGUACGCACUCGUAUAUAGUAUUAGUAUAUUUUGGUUAAUAUCUUGAAAGCUAUGAUUUUGCGGCAAUACAGACCACCACCGUUGUAAUCCUUCAGGCAUAAGCUUCCGAUUAAGGUAUCUUACGCCCUCCUACGCAUUGUACUUCCGCGAACUUACUUGCCUUUCAUUCUCUCACUUUUCUCCUGCUGUCUUUGCAGCAUAAGUUAUCACUCCUGUUGAAAAUGACUGUAUCAUGCACUCGCUCAUCGAUCGUUUUGAAUUUUUGCGCCAUCGAUCACUGCGGUCGACAAUCGAUGAAUGACACGUGACUCGGCGGAAGUGUCGCCAUAUUCCUUUCUUACUUUCUUCCUUUCUACUAUAUUUUAUAUAUAUAUUUUAGAGAGAAGAUGGAAUCGUUUUGUUUUAUUAGAUGUAUAAGAAAACUAUUUAAACGAUUUAAAAUUGAAACAACUUCUUUUAUAAUAUAUAAAUAUAAUAAGCUGUAUACGUGACAGUCUGUAUAAUAAUCUCUGAUUGGCUCUUUUAAGUAGGUACAUAUAUGACGCGGAGAUUCUUAAAUAUGUUGCGUUUAUUGAUAAAAAAUUAGCAUUACUACCUCUAAUCAAAUAUUAAAUGUAGUCGUACAGAUGCGAGUAAAUUCUGAAAAUAUCUGUGAUAGAAUUUUCUAUAAAAAAAAAUUAAUACUAGUAAAAAUAGCCAUAGCGAUUUCACCACUUCUCACCCAUAAAAAACAUUAUAAGCUUUCUGGAGAUCGUAAGAAUCCAUGUUUUAAUGUUUAGUAUACGUGACAGUCAAUGGCAGGUAAAUUUAUGUCGAAAUAUAUACUUUGUAAUAAGAAAUUUAUAUUUUCUAGUUAUCUAGAUAUGAAAUUAAUUAAAAUAUUAAAAUAUUUAGCGAAAUGAAAAAAAUAAUCCGAACGUUAUCUGUUAAAAGUUGUAACUUUUAUUUAUUUCUUUUAUUUAUUGCGAUAAAGUAUUUUAUGAAAUAGGAAUUUAAUUUACUGCUAUUUAAUAAUUACUUCGAAAAUAUAAUUGCUAUUAAUUUAAAAAUUUUGUCAUAAUAAAUAACACGGUAUCCAGAUGGUUGUAAAAUUAUAACAUAUCAUUUUUAACCGAAUUAUUUCCUUUUCUAACAAGAAUUGUUUUAUGCCGCAUAUGAAAUCUGGAUAAAUUUGAUCUUUGUUUUAUUUUUAUGACAAGUACGAUUAAGAAUUAAUAUAAGGAAUUCUUUGUGAUCUCCAUGAUUCAGCUAUUAAGUAAAACAGAGAAAUUUGGCAAGCCUAGUCCUUGCAAUACAUCUCCCGCAUGUAGUUAAUUAAAUUUCUGGCUCGGUUUAAGAUGUCUAAAAUUAUGUCUGGUCCAUUUACUAUAUUUCACUGUCAAUUGCAAAACAUUGAAAAUCCCUGUAUUGUAGAUGAUAUGACCAACACAAGUAAAUUAAUGCAGUCUGUUUUGUGUAUAGAUAUUCACAUAACUUGAAUGUAUAUUAUAUGAUGCAAUAUCAAUACAUUAAUCUUAUGUUAUACAAUUAAAAUUUGAUGACAUUUUGUAAUACGUCAUUGUAUACGUGAUAUAAUAGAAGUUAGUUCGUGUCACAAAUCAAUUUUUAAAUUUAAUGUACAUCAUUUUGGCUAUUUACUGACGUAAAUAAAGCAAUUUUACUCAAAAUACAAUGAUUUUAUUAUUUGUAUAAUAUCGUCUGCAUCCGAUUAGAACUCACUCAAUGUAACUAAAAAGAAAGGUCAUGUUUUUCAUAGAUUGCGUACAAGAAUUGAAUUUGAUGAAACUUACAUGCAAUAUAUUGUUGAAACUUUUUUGACAGAUACAAUAUCGAAAAUGAUGCAUCGAAUAAAAAGCAAAUUAUGUGAAUAAGCUGGAAUAAGUAAUUAAAUAAUUGGAAAUAAUACAAAAAGUAGUGAUUAUUCGGAUCAAAUUUUCAGUUCUCGCUUCAAACUUCAAGAUCGAUAAAAUAUAUACGACAGUAAGUUUUAACAGAGAUUGUAAAUGGUACAGAAACUCGAAAGAUUCAGAAUGAAAAUUUUUAUUGACAUGUUUGAGUUAUUAAUCACUAGUGAAUUAAUAUCUGGUAAAUUAAUAAAAAACGACUGAUCUUAAGAAAAUAUAAAUUCAAACUAUCAUUUUUCCUUACAGUUUUAGUCCGUAAAUAUUAUAAAUGUAACUUGCAACUUAACUUACAAUUAAAUGUGUUUAAUUCUCUUUGUCAAUUAUAGAGUCUAAGUCAUUACUUGUUUUCUUACGCUUUAAUUACCCCUUGUCUACUGUUGAUCAUAAUUUAAUUAUUGCUAAGAAUUAUUGAAAAUAUGCUUGCAUGUGGCAUUUUAUCGUACGCAUUUAUUGUAUGUAUUUUACUUGGGUAUUUUCUACUUAGUAUGCGUUACUUAAAUGAAAUUCUUUUUGUAAGAUAAAUUAUGCAGCUUGUGCACAGAAUAAGAAUAGCCAUGAAAAAGCAAUCAGAAUGAUAAACUCGAGUGUUUUUAAUUUAAAUUUUAAAAUAUAUUUUCUGGAUACUAGCAUUACAACUUUUUACACUAAUUUUCAGGAUUUUGGCAUUUUGAGCGUAUGCCAAUUGAAUGGCGCCAAGACAAAUUCUUACGUAUGCAUAAAUACUACUUGACCUCUUACAUAACUAGGCACAUAACAAAUGUCUCUGUCAGGCAAUUUGAUAGCAUUUUCUUGGCGCAUUUUAAAUGGACCUUGAUGAUGAAUUCAUAGAAAAUUGAAAAUUGUUAACAAUCUAUUUGGAUCGAUAAAAUAUAAUAAAAGUAUCCAGCUAAAGAAUCAAUGACCUCAGUUUCACUUUAAAUUGCGAAAUAGAUUUAUUCGGUUAUUAAUUAGAUGUCAUUCUCUAAAGUUUUAAAUUAUUUAAAUUGUAUUGUAUUAAAAAGUAAACGCAGUAAAUAAGUAAGCCUACGAUAAAUAGAGAAAUAAAUAAUUCAUGAAUUCAUCAGAAUUUUUUAGACAAUAGUACGAAAGAGAAAGGAAAACCUGCAAGAGUUAUAAUUCAAGAUUAAGUACGUAUGUGUACAGUAGCUACUAAAAGUAUUCCUGCAUACCCUUAUUUUCCAGCGAAGCAUUUUUUAGCCGAUCAUAUAUUUCAUUUUCAUAAUCUGAAAUUUUUAUAGUUAUAUGAAAGUACUACUACAUGAUAUGAAAUUUAAUACGCUUAAAUCUGUUUAAUUAGUAUAUAAACGCUAUAAUACAAAUAAUGGAACUACCUUCUGUAACAACUCUAUGUAUUGUAUAUGUUACGCUAGGAUACGUUAGGAUACGUUUAAGUACUUCAUAAGUCUACGAGUAGGUUAUCCUUCCUCUUUUUUUUUUGCUUGUUAAUCAUGUAUGAGUUAUAGCUAUAAGUUUGCAAUAUGUUUCGUUUACACUGUUGUGUACAUAAUGUACAGGUUAUAAAGAUAAUCCUGCAGCUGGUCACCAAACAGUUACUAUUAUCUUUUUAAAUUAAACGGUAUUAUUUUGAUUAUCUUCGAUUAUUACAUAAUAUAUAUGUAUCAGCUCCCAAUCAGUAUCUAAUCUGUCAGUAAUUAAUGUACCUAAAGAAUUAAUGGUACAUUCAGAAUAUAAUAAAUUCAGUUAUUCGUAUACAUAUAUCAAUCCUAUGUUUAUUAUUUUUUAUUUCCAACGUUUUAUCGAACAAAAAAAAAACUGCUCCAUUGUUAUUUCGUAUCUUUCUUAUAAUUUUGUACUGAUGCGUGUAAACAUUGUUUAGCAUUACUCUGCAACCUGAUGUUAACAUUAAUCUAUUAUUACUAGUGUUUGUAUUAUAAUACUAUUGCUAAUAUAUUUAUAGUUAUAUUAAUAGUAUUGUUUCAAUUAUAAUCUUUUAUACUAUGUAAUUAAAUACUAAUGAUAUCUGAAUUAUAUAACACUGAAAUUAAGCAUUAUUUAAUAAAAUAUUUGAAAAAUGA